rnacentral:rRNA from 1 species
CGCUGGCGGCAUGCCUUACACAUGCAGUCGAGGCAGCACGGGUGCUUGCCCUGGUGGCGAGUGGCGAAGGUGAGUACAUCGGAACAUGUCCAGUAGUGGGGGAUAGCCCGGCGAAAGCCGGAUUAAUACCGCAUACGAUCUUUGGAUGAAAGCGGGGGCCUUCGGGCCUCCUAUUGGGGUGGGAUGGCGGAUUAUAGUUGGUGGGGUAAAGGCUCACCAAGGCGACGAUCCGUAGUGGUCUGAGAGGACGACCAGCCACACUGGGUGAGACACGGCCCAGACUCCUACGGGAGGCAGCAGUGGGGAAUUUGGACAAUGGGCGAAAGCCUGAUCCAGCAAUGCCGCGUGUGUGAAGAAGGCCUUCGGGUUGUAAAGCACUUUUGUCCGGAAAGAAAUCCUUGAUCCUAAUACGGCGGGGAUGACGGUACCGGAAGAAUAAGCACCGGCUAACUACGUGCCAGCAGCCGCGGUAAUACGUAGUGCAAGCGUUAAUCGGAAUUAGGUGAGGUUAAGCGUGCGCAGGCGGUGAUGCAAGACCGAUGUGAAAUCCCCGGGCUCCCUGGGAACUGCAUUGGUGACUGCAUCGCUAGAGUAUGGCAAGGGGGGGAAUUCCACGUGUAGCAGUGAAAUGCGUAGAGAUGUGGGGAAUACCGAUGGCGAAGGCAGCCCCCUGGGUCAAUACUGACGCUCAUGCAGAAAGCGUGGGGAGCAAACAGGAUUAGAUACCCUGGUAGUCCACGCCCUAAACGAUGUCAACUGGUUGUCGGGUCUUCAUUGACUUGGUCGUAGCUAACGCGUGAAGUUGACCGCCUGGGGAGUACGGUCGCAAGAUUAAAACUCAAAGGAAUUGACGGGGACCCGCACAAGCGUGGAUGAUGUGGAUUAAUUCGAUGCACGCGAAAACCUUACCUACCUUGACAUGUAUGGAAUCCUGCUGAGAGGUGGGGUGCCCGAAAGGAGCCAUAACCAGGUGCUGCAUGGCUGUCGUCAGCUCGUGUCGUGAGAUGUUGGUUAGUCCCGCAAGAGCGCAACCCUUGUCCCUAGUUGCUACCAAGAGCACUCCAGACUGCCGGUGACAACCGGAGGAAGGUGGGAUGCGUCAAGUCCUCAUGGCUAUGGGUAGGCUUCACGUCAUACAAUGGUCAACAGAGUGCCAAGCCGCACAUAUGGAACAUAUGCUAUCACG